rnacentral:lncRNA from 1 species
CAAAAGCAUUAGUUAAUGUCAUUAAAAACAUAAAAAAAAAUAGGUUGUUCACGUAUUUAGCUAUGUCAGCUGAAUACUUUAAUGAAUUGAGAGAAAAAGGUAAAACAUUUUUCUGUUUGUUGUGAACCAUUGUAUUAAGAUGUUUUUGAGCACAGAUGUUUUAUAAGCUUCAGUGCUAAGCUUCAAAGCUAGACUGUUAUCAUAGCUCGUGCUGCAACCUUUCCAAACAGUCACAACAACAGCAGUUCCCUGUGGAACAAAAAUUGAGUAUGGAAGCUGAUUUGAGAAGCUCUUUUCUUUUCUUUUCUUUUUUUCAUGUGACUUUGUUGUAGGCCCAGACGCUGGACCAGCACAAAGUCUUCUUGCAGAGGCUCGUUUUGUCGAGGGCCAGGGUUCACUGUGGAGGAGAUGGACCGCAUGACCCAUUGAGGACAUCAGCGUCCCAAAAAAGCUUGAGUGGAAAGGUCAAUAGACGAAGAUGUCUCCCCUCAGUAUUAAACCAGUCUUCACUACAUCUCCCCGGAGCAGCUGCCUAGCCACUGGACGAUGAGAAGACAGAAGUGAGGGGAGGUGGUCAGUGUUCUUCUUUUGACAGGUGGGAAAAUCCCCAAUAAGAGAAUCUAAUCUUUUUAAGAGUUUAUCAUUUAUUAAAGCUGCUGUUGUUGUUGCAGUGGCCUUUUAAAUAUUAGGCUAGUUAUGAUCUGGGAGAAGUCAGA